CGUGCCCCUCCCCCCCACCCCGUUAUCCCGUUAACAGUAGCGUGUUUGCAGGUGAAGGCGACUUGCCCCACAGUCGCUGCGGGGGAAAGAGGCCGAGCGGGAGGCGAGACCAGGUUUCAGGCACAUGCGGAGGGGGAAGAAUCGUUCCCCGGAACCGCUGCGGCUGGGAGCAGAAGCAACGGGGUUAAAUGGCAGCCGGGGCGGUGCAGGUCGGACAGGUGGAAACACGUCCCUACUGUCAGGGGGGUUCAGCGCUGGGGCUACAGAAUAACGUCCAUGUUUUGCUCUGGAUCGUCCCACCCUUCCAGAGGAAAGGCAAUGGCUGCAGCGGAGUUAGCUGAGGUGUUUGUUUAUAUAUAAUUUUAUAGGGGGGGAGAUAUUGGGAUUGCCGCCAGGAGGCUGUCCCUGACCCUGCCGGGGACUCCAUUUCCUGUAUCAGCUUCUGGUUAGUAGGUGUGUGAUGAAUAUGAUGACCCCUGUCCCCACUGGCCAGCGUGAGGGGCUCUCUUUUUCUCCCCUCAACUUGGU